rnacentral:rRNA from 1 species
GACGAACCGUGCGAACGUUGUUCGGAAUCACUGGGCUUAAAGGGCGCGUAGGCGGGUGACCAAGUCAGGGGUGAAAUCUUUCGGCCCAACCGGAAAAGUGCCUCUGAUACUGGUCGUCUUGAGGGAGGUAGGGGUCGAGGGAACUGGUGGUGGAGCGGUGAAAUGCGUAGAUAUCUGGAGGAACACCGGUGGCGAAGGCGGCAUCCUGGACCAACACUGACACUGAGGAGCGAAAGCGUGGGGAGCGAACAGG